rnacentral:rRNA from 1 species
GGGUUGUGAGGUUAAGCGACUAAGCGUACACGGUGGAUGCCCUGGCAGUCAGAGGCGAUGAAGGACGUGCUAAUCUGCGAUAAGCGUCGGUAAGGUGAUAUGAACCGUUAUAACCGGCGAUUUCCGAAUGGGGAAACCCAGUGUGAUUCGUCACACUAUCAUUAACUGAAUCCAUAGGUUAAUGAGGCGAACCGGGGGAACUGAAACAUCUAAGUACCCCGAGGAAAAGAAAUCAACCGAGAUUCCCCCAGUAGCGGCGAGCGAACGGGGAGGAGCCCAGAGCCUGAAUCAGUGUGUGUGUUAGUGGAAGCGUCUGGAAAGGCGUGCGAUACAGGGUGACAGCCCCGUACACAAAAAUGCACAUGCUGUGAGCUCGAUGAGUAGGGCGGGACACGUGGUAUCCUGUCUGAAUAUGGGGGGACCAUCCUCCAAGGCUAAAUACUCCUGACUGACCGAUAGUGAACCAGUACCGUGAGGGAAAGGCGAAAAGAACCCCGGCGAGGGGAGUGAAAAAGAACCUGAAACCGUGUACGUACAAGCAGUGGGAGCACGCUUAGGCGUGUGACUGCGUACCUUUUGUAUAAUGGGUCAGCGACUUAUAUUCUGUAGCAAGGUUAACCGAAUAGGGGAGCCGAAGGGAAACCGAGUCUUAACUGGGCGUUAAGUUGCAGGGUAUAGACCCGAAACCCGGUGAUCUAGCCAUGGGCAGGUUGAAGGUUGGGUAACACUAACUGGAGGACCGAACCGACUAAUGUUGAAAAAUUAGCGGAUGACUUGUGGCUGGGGGUGAAAGGCCAAUCAAACCGGGAGAUAGCUGGUUCUCCCCGAAAGCUAUUUAGGUAGCGCCUCGUGAAUUCAUCUCCGGGGGUAGAGCACUGUUUCGGCAAGGGGGUCAUCCCGACUUACCAACCCGAUGCAAACUGCGAAUACCGGAGAAUGUUAUCACGGGAGACACACGGCGGGUGCUAACGUCCGUCGUGAAGAGGGAAACAACCCAGACCGCCAGCUAAGGUCCCAAAGUCAUGGUUAAGUGGGAAACGAUGUGGGAAGGCCCAGACAGCCAGGAUGUUGGCUUAGAAGCAGCCAUCAUUUAAAGAAAGCGUAAUAGCUCACUGGUCGAGUCGGCCUGCGCGGAAGAUGUAACGGGGCUAAACCAUGCACCGAAGCUGCGGCAGCGACACUAUGUGUUGUUGGGUAGGGGAGCGUUCUGUAAGCCUGUGAAGGUGUGCUGUGAGGCAUGCUGGAGGUAUCAGAAGUGCGAAUGCUGACAUAAGUAACGAUAAAGCGGGUGAAAAGCCCGCUCGCCGGAAGACCAAGGGUUCCUGUCCAACGUUAAUCGGGGCAGGGUGAGUCGACCCCUAAGGCGAGGCCGAAAGGCGUAGUCGAUGGGAAACAGGUUAAUAUUCCUGUACUUGGUGUUACUGCGAAGGGGGGACGGAGAAGGCUAUGUUGGCCGGGCGACGGUUGUCCCGGUUUAAGCGUGUAGGCUGGUUUUCCAGGCAAAUCCGGAAAAUCAAGGCUGAGGCGUGAUGACGAGGCACUACGGUGCUGAAGCAACAAAUGCCCUGCUUCCAGGAAAAGCCUCUAAGCAUCAGGUAACAUCAAAUCGUACCCCAAACCGACACAGGUGGUCAGGUAGAGAAUACCAAGGCGCUUGAGAGAACUCGGGUGAAGGAACUAGGCAAAAUGGUGCCGUAACUUCGGGAGAAGGCACGCUGAUAUGUAGGUGAAGCGACUUGCUCGUGGAGCUGAAAUCAGUCGAAGAUACCAGCUGGCUGCAACUGUUUAUUAAAAACACAGCACUGUGCAAACACGAAAGUGGACGUAUACGGUGUGACGCCUGCCCGGUGCCGGAAGGUUAAUUGAUGGGGUUAGCGCAAGCGAAGCUCUUGAUCGAAGCCCCGGUAAACGGCGGCCGUAACUAUAACGGUCCUAAGGUAGCGAAAUUCCUUGUCGGGUAAGUUCCGACCUGCACGAAUGGCGUAAUGAUGGCCAGGCUGUCUCCACCCGAGACUCAGUGAAAUUGAACUCGCUGUGAAGAUGCAGUGUACCCGCGGCAAGACGGAAAGACCCCGUGAACCUUUACUAUAGCUUGACACUGAACAUUGAGCCUUGAUGUGUAGGAUAGGUGGGAGGCUUUGAAGUGUGGACGCCAGUCUGCAUGGAGCCGACCUUGAAAUACCACCCUUUAAUGUUUGAUGUUCUAACGUGGACCCGUAAUCCGGGUUGCGGACAGUGUCUGGUGGGUAGUUUGACUGGGGCGGUCUCCUCCUAAAGAGUAACGGAGGAGCACGAAGGUUGGCUAAUCCUGGUCGGACAUCAGGAGGUUAGUGCAAUGGCAUAAGCCAGCUUGACUGCGAGCGUGACGGCGCGAGCAGGUGCGAAAGCAGGUCAUAGUGAUCCGGUGGUUCUGAAUGGAAGGGCCAUCGCUCAACGGAUAAAAGGUACUCCGGGGAUAACAGGCUGAUACCGCCCAAGAGUUCAUAUCGACGGCGGUGUUUGGCACCUCGAUGUCGGCUCAUCACAUCCUGGGGCUGAAGUAGGUCCCAAGGGUAUGGCUGUUCGCCAUUUAAAGUGGUACGCGAGCUGGGUUUAGAACGUCGUGAGACAGUUCGGUCCCUAUCUGCCGUGGGCGCUGGAGAAUUGAGGGGGGCUGCUCCUAGUACGAGAGGACCGGAGUGGACGCAUCACUGGUGUUCGGGUUGUCAUGCCAAUGGCACUGCCCGGUAGCUAAAUGCGGAAGAGAUAAGUGCUGAAAGCAUCUAAGCACGAAACUUGCCCCGAGAUGAGUUCUCCCUGACUCCUUGAGAGUCCUGAAGGAACGUUGAAGACGACGACGUUGAUAGGCCGGGUGUGUAAGCGCAGCGAUGCGUUGAGCUAACCGGUACUAAUGAACCGUGAGGCUUAACCUUACAACGCCGAAG